UACUAAUGUACCGUAUAAUAUAGAAAAUACACAGAUCUAACAAUUGAUGUUAAUAUAAAUGAAUGACACUUGUUUAAAUAAUAACUUAAUUUUACAUUGUUCAAAAUGCAAUUUAAAAAAAAAUGAAAGGAUUUCUUAAUGUGUCGCCACAUAAAUGAAUGUUGAGCUUCACACAUCAAAUGACUAUAUAAAGAUGUUCAUAUCUUAUAAUUAUAUAAGGCAGGACAGAUCUUUGAUUUACA
rnacentral:lncRNA from 1 species